rnacentral:lncRNA from 1 species
GCGGCCGGCGCGGGGUCGACGGGGACCCAGCGUCGGCGGACCCCUAGCCGCGGAGAAGGCGGUGGUCUCGACAUUCCCCCAUCCCCGCCCUGGAGCAAAGUCUGAAAUGGAUGUUACAUGAGUCAUUUUAAGGGAUGCACACAACUAUGAACAUUUCUGAAGAUUUUUUCUCAGUAAAGUAGAUAAAGAUGGAUGAAUCAGCCUUGUUGGAUCUUUUGGAGUGUCCGGUGUGUCUAGAGCGCCUUGAUGCUUCUGCGAAGGUCUUGCCUUGCCAGCAUACGUUUUGCAAGCGAUGUUUGCUGGGGAUCGUAGGUUCUCGAAAUGAACUCAGAUGUCCCGAGUGCAGGACUCUUGUUGGCUCGGGUGUCGAGGAGCUUCCCAGUAACAUCUUGCUGGUCAGACUUCUGGAUGGCAUCAAACAGAGGCCUUGGAAACCUGGUCCUGGUGGGGGAAGUGGGACCAACUGCACAAAUGCAUUAAGGUCUCA